rnacentral:rRNA from 1 species
UACAGAGGUCUCAAGCGUUGUUCGGAAUCACUGGGCGUAAAGGGUGCGUAGGCCGCACGGUAAGUCAGAGGUGAAAUCCCGGAGCUCAACUUCGGAAUUGCCUCCGAUACUGCCGUGCUUGAGGACUGGAGAGGAGAUUGGAAUUCACAGUGGAGCAGUGAAAUGCGUAGAUAUUGUGAGGAACACUAGUGGCGAAGGCGAAUCUCUGGACAGUUCCUGACGCUGAGGCACGAAAGCCAGGGGAGCAAACGGG